CAUAGUGACAAGCAUGAGGCAAAUGCAUGAGGGAAAUGGAUUGAUCUGUGGUGCACACUUAGCUUCUGUACCUUUAAACACACAUCUCUAGAUGUAUGUAUUUAUUUUUGAGACUAGGCCUGUGUAGCCCUGGCACGGGGGUGGGGGGUGGAGGGAGCGUGGUUGAAGAGCCCGGGGUAUAUUACCCCCUUUCGUGCUGGGAUUAAAGGCAUACAUACCACCAUGCCCAGUCAAAAUAUUUAUUGAAAAUAAAAUUUUUUUUCAAUUAUAUUUAUUGGAUGCAUGUGCACAGGUGCACAUGUGCUUUCUACAGUUACAUGUGAAAGUCAGAGGACAACUUGCAAAAGUCAGUUCUUUCCUCCUACUCUGCGGGUUCUGGGAUUGUUCUGCUAAGCAACAAGCAUCUUUACCUGUUGAGCCAUCUCUUCAGCCUAAAAGAAUUUUUUUUUAAACCAAGGAGCUGGGAAUGUUGCCUAGUAGCAAGCCCCUGCAUUCAACUCUAAGUACUCCCUACCCAAAUGAAGUGACCAAGAAGUAGGUGCUUCUGUGGGGUCUUCUGAGAUUGAGAGCUUUUUCAGCAGCCUUGGGGAUCAGGAAACCAGAUAGCUAGUAAUGUUUUCUUCAUUUCACAGGAGAGAAAAUUGAGACCCCGUGAGCCUUGUUCCCACUCUUGACAUUCACUCUUAAAACCUUGGGGGCCCUGUGCUAGCCACUGGGAUACUGCUGUCUCAUCUGUUAAAUGUGGUUUGCUCUGUCUGAAGGUCAGGAAAACGCUUGGAGUUUGCGAAGCCGUCCUCACAGCUCUCAUCACCAGCGCUGCCAUCCACCCAGGGUGUGGUCAAGCUUUUGCUUUAGGACCAGUGGGAACUGCGCCCUCACCUAUCUUCCCUACUUUAUAGUCAGCUUUUAGUUAUUUUUUUUUUCAAGGUAAUUUGAGAAAUAAGAGACCACAUCACCAGCAUUUACUUUGUGCUAUGCAGCCUAAGCUAAGGCUGUGUGUGGCCCAGUCCCUAGCAGUGGAUGUCACUAAAAUGAGCUCCCCAACCCCAACCAGGCAGCUCUAAGGUAUGAUUUCAUUGACUACCUAGAGUUUUAAUAGCCUCCAGAGGUGCUUUGAAUAUGCGUAAUCUUCAGAGCAGGACUAAAGCCCAGCUCAGGAGCUCUCUGCAGCCUACUUCCAGCUGAAGCUAUAUUCUGGAACAUUUCCUGGUGCUUUUAAAGCAUGAUUAAAUUUUAUCUAGGACUGGGAGACUACAGAGGCAAAAGGCUAUAUUUAAACCAUCUGCUAAAAGUACUACUCAUGUACCUUUGACACUUCAACACUGUUGGCCUCAUAGGUCAGUGGGAGGUUAUCCUCUACAGAUAAACCCUGACUCGUGUCUCUCCUGAGUCCCCUGCCCUGGUGUUGGGAGUGGCAUGUGCAUCAGGACCCUGGACAGCUUGCGUUGGACUGGCCUUUGUUACACCAUCCCUAAGAACAGAACUUCAUCUAGCAGCUUCUUCCAGACACCACAGAGCAACCAGGGUGACUGAAGCACGAGAUGGAGAUUACCACCAGCUGCUCCAUCGGAUGUGGAAAAAUCAGCACAGGCUCUACAAUGCCAGCUCGCCUCAUCUCUGGUGUGUGAUGCUUGCUGCCUCACACUUCGAUCCACAAUGAGAAAAGCACACUUAUACUAGAGCGUGACACCCUCCACUUGGCUACUAACUUAUUUCCUAGUUGAUGAGCAAAACUGGCCUAGCAUCAGACCUAGAACUUUGUGUGUGCUACUGACAUUCACAGGGUGAUUUUAAGCUGCUUGGUUAUUUGUUCUCCUUAGACAUAAUAACUGGGGAAAGAUGAACUUUAUUUUUUAUAAAAAAUAAAACCAAAAGAAAUGCCUGUUCAAUAGAUGUGUGUGUCAGUCCUUCCAUGUCUGUGCACGUGGCCAUGAAGUUUGUUUUUGUUCAACCAAGUAAUAAAAUAAUAGAACAAAAAAAA
rnacentral:lncRNA from 1 species